CAGUUAUUCAGUUAGUGCUGUACUUGGAGUAGCAGCGAGGGUAGUGAUCGUACUCUUUCCGCAGAAACACCAAUUUUAUUGACGCAUAAUCAAUAGUUACUUUUUCUUUCAUUCUCGUACUUGUGUAUUAUGAACAUUUAAGGAACGAAAUUUUAGUAACGCUAUUUUACCUGAGAGAUCGUAUCAGUUCAGUGAGACGAAAGAGUGUUUCGACAAAGGAACUGAUACCAGUGCGAAUAUGCCUGGAGUCCAUUCCCAAGUGAGAGUGGUUAGUGUGAAGGUCCAAAAACCAACGCUAAGGCUUCGAUGUUGUAUAACGUUGCUCAUUUCGUUAGCAUUCGGAUGUAUCAUAAGUUUAUGCAUUUGCGGAGCAUUCAUUGUAAAUCCUUACCUAAAGAUACAUUUUUUCGAGGAAACAACCUGUACGACUACAAACGUAAAAUGGGAGUAUAAGUAUGCCAAAUGCUGUGUCGAAGCUGGAAACUUGGAAACAUGUGUAGAACCAGGGCCUGCAGUGGCGGGGUUCCCUUGCCUAGAGAUAACCGUCAGUGUCGAAGAGGAUGGUAAAUCGCACUCAGCGAUUGUUUACAAGGACGAUAAGACUUGGGGCAUGAAAACAAAUUGUUCCUACCCGCUGUGCGACUCUUACCAAUAUGUAGGAAGCGAUCCUAACUUUGAAGCCUCUGCUUUCGCUGAAAAAUACAAGGAGGGCAGUUCAUACGCUUGUUUCUACAAUCCCAACACAGGUGGUGAGGUUAUAAUUAAUCAAAGUGUCAGUCGUAUGAUGGUGUUCCACAGUAUGUUCUGGCCAUCGUUGAUACUUGUACUGAGCAUCGUCAGCUAUUGUUUCUUUGCGACGAGGCUGAAUAAUGAAAGCAGAAAAAUGCCUGGUUUUACAAGACUCUAAAAAGAAUCUAAAUCGUAAAUUUGAGGUUUCUGCAAAUAUGGUGUCACAAAAUAAUGACAUAUUCUGAUUUUUAUUAAAAAAUAAAUCGGAAUCAAUUUAUUGAAUAUAUUUCACCCAGGCCCAUAAUAAAAUUAUUAAGAUUAUUGUUAUAAAAAAAGAAUUUUCAGUGAGGGAGCAUUACUCAAAAGAUCAAUCUGAGAACCGACAUUGACGUGAGCAGAAGAUAUUUUAAAUGUUUUCAAGACAAUGGACUGUGAUCCGUCUGUCCUGUGUUGGAUUUGGUACGCCAUCUGUAUAUAUAGUUCAAGAGGCAGCAAGAUGUAUAACACAAGCCAGUGAUGUCAUUGAAUACCUUGAACAUCAAUUGUCUGUAUCCUUGUGCCAAGUGCCUUAAUAAUAUUCUCAAUGCUGUUUCAAGUAAAUAACUGAAAUUGCAGUAAAACCCAUGCCUUUCAUUUGUAAUUGAAAAGAUUUCUAUUUUACGAUAAUGGUUAUUUGAUGGUUUAAGUCCAUAAUAUUUCUUGUACAGUACUGUAUGAGGUCAAAUUACACAGUUUGAGGUUUUCAACCUUCCCAUUUAUUUAUAUUCAAAUUAUUUUUAUAGAAUUAUUGGUAUACUGUAUGUUGGCCAGUUAAAAUAAAAUAAUUUAUUUAUUGAUUUUGUAUUUACUUCAAUCAGAGGGAUGGUAAUGGCUUUAUACAUAACUGUAAAUUCUCUUCUCAUAAAAUAAAUAAACAUUCGUAAUGUUUUAUUAUGCAAUGAUAAUUUUAUUAAUGAAUACAACGACUUGUUGGUACUUGUCAUUAAAUUUUGUAGUAUAUAUAUUUAUACACUGAUCAAUGUAAAGUGCAUUUAGAUUCAAAUUUCUCUCUAUUGGCCUUCCUGUGUACUGCUACUAUACUUACCAUGACCUCAUUGACGAUAUUUUAUGGGUUUGGUAUUUUCAUCUAAUCUCUUGUAUUUCAUACUCUCAAAUGGCACAUAGUAUCCAUAGAGAUAACGAAUUAGAGUGCUAACUAGACUUGGUAAAAUGAGCAUUUUGUCUCAUAUCGCCAAAAUGCGUUUUUGAACAAGAACAUCACCAUCCAGAAUUGGCUAGAGUAAGCUUUUUUGUCGCUCAGAAUUGCGCAUGUAUGAAAAUGUCAUAAUUCUUUUUAAUUAAAAAUUGACAUUGUGUGCACCCAUAAGUUUGAAUAUGGAAAUACACCAUUCAAAUGUGCAAUGUAGUAAAUUUAGUUACAACUCUUUGAAACCAUGACAUUUUGCAGGAGAAAGCUUUGCAUUGGAGUUAUCACUCCAGUAAAUUUGUAUAAUACAGGUACCUCUGUAUGACAAUAUUUCAUCCUUCUAUUGUUUAAUGAUAUUGUUACAGUCAGUGGUGGCAGGAUUCACUCCAGGAUUUUAGGUUUCUCUUUGAUUUUGACAAUAAAGUUCAAAGAUCAGAAAUUCAAAACCAAACUUCGGAUUGUGCAAAUAAUUUGCAUACAACUGCAGUUGUUUUUUUUUUUUUUGGGAUAAUAUCCAAAUUUUACAAAGCGCCUCCAAUUUCAAAUGCACAACAAAAGCAUUUUUCAAACUAUUCUUUUUGAAACAUGUUUAAUGUAAUCUAGAGCAUAAUAAUGAUGAUGAUAAUAAUAAUAAUAAAUAACAUUUUUAUAGUGCAAAAGACAGUUAGUUUUGAAGCACUUGGAAUUCCCAGUUCUGUACUAGGAGUACCACACCCAUUUCAUAGGCCAAGGUCAAUCAAUAGCCGAUUGAUUAUAAAAACAAAUUCUUACUACUGUAGGAUAGAUCUUGCCAGUGGCGGAUCUCGUGGGGAGGAGGAUCUGAGCAUGAAAAUUUGCAAAAUCAUUGUAUUGGUACUAUAUUCAUAAUAAGUAUGCUCUGUUCCUGUUCCCCAACAUACCCCUCUGUAUACAAUCCUGUACAAUACCCUGUGACAUGACAGGCAUCGACUAACUGUUAAUAAUUCCUCCAUGUACUGUACAGAUUUAAUGUGCGCUUCCACUGCCUUCCUUCCGCUGCGGAAUUUUAGGCAAGUAUAGGCAUUGUUACUAAUUAGGAAAUUGACACAUUUUGAAAUUAACAGUGAGUGUAGUGGAAAUGUUUGCUGGUUGUUAAAAUGUACUGUACCUUGAAAUCAAAUUCCCAUUCAAACCAAAAUGGUUCAGUACUUCAAAAAGAAGUAUUAUCCACCUUAUUAUUCUGUAUUUAAGCUCAAUGAUAUGCAUAUUUUAUUAAAUUUGUACUACAUAAUUGUUUUACUUGUUUUAAUUGACAAAUGUUGGGGUAUCUUAAUUAAAUAUUCAGUAUUGUGUGUUACUUUUAUUUAUUUAUUUAUUUUAUUUUAACAAUAUUUUGUGAGGGUGGUCCAUCCAGCCUGAGCUGAUCAAUUGGGACCCUCAGUACAUACAAUUAAAACAUAAGUAUAAAAAUUAAACUUGAUCUUUAACAUAAGCAAAUUAAUUAAAUUAAACCAGGAAAAAAUUAAUAAUAAUAAUAAUAAUAAAAAUCAGAAAAAGUGUUGUACUGGUAGUAAGCUAUCUAUGCAUAGGAAGGUUCUUCAAAAUUUUACAUUUUAUCAGUCUUUUCAAAUGAAUUGGUAAUGCCUUGAUAUAGAUUUAGAUACAUUAGAGAAUAGUGCCUUUUCAACAAGGUCUCAGUUGUCAGCUUUAGAAGUAGGAUUUUUAAUACAGUGACUCAAAGUGCCCUCUUUCUCUGUUAGUCAUAAUAUUGUACAGUAUAUAUUUUUUAUUAUUCAUGCAGUUAACCUUUUUAUUACUUGAAGUCUGUAUGCAAGACAUUGUUGCUAUGAAAUAAUUAUGACUGUCGAUAUAGAGAUUUCUUUUUUGUAUCUAUACCAAUCAUUUUGAUAUUGUUGUUUCUGGGGAGAAGAGUGCUGUAAAAUGGUCUUAAAAGUGUAGUUAAGGAGGUAGUUUUAAUUAGUCAAUAAUAGCCAGGUUUGUUUCUUAGAUGGUCUUAUAGUCACCACUGUAUUAGACCAUUGUAUUGAAAUACUAAAAAUUACAAUUUUCUUUUAUUGCCCAAGUCUAUUAUAAUGUGUGUUACUUGCUGAUGAGUACAAUGAAAAUAUGAAGAAAAACAAAGCUGUUAAACUUGGGCACAAUAAUGGUAUAGGCACUUCUGCAAAGCGCCCUCCUUUUUUAAAUUACUUGUCAACGUUCACACAGGAAUCCAUAUUGAUAAUCAUUUCAAUAACCUCUGUGUAGCAGGCUGAAAUAUCUACAGUAGCCAGCUGAUUUAAACCAUUGUAUACUGUAGCAAUGGCCUAUAAUUAUUGCAUUCACAGCCUAAGUAUAAAAAACAUCACUAGCCAACUUACAGAAUCCAACCUGGAUGAACUGAACUAUACACCUAAAUUCUUAAAUUAUUUAUUGAAAAAUUGUUAGGAAUAUUUACAGGCGUCAAGCUGAUCCGUCAACAUUGGUAUUCUGUGUGCUGCACCCUGCAUUGUAUUUGAUGCUCAAUUUGCAUUUAUUCACUGGAGGUGUUGUAGUUUUGUAAACAUUUGUAUAAUUGUUUGAAAAUUGCAGAUUAUUUUUGUUGUGAUGAUAAUAAUAUAAAAUAAUACUAAUAACAUUAAUGAUAAUACUAAUACUAAUGAUACUAAUAACAUUAACUAAUGUUACUAAUAACAUUAAUGAUAAUACUGUAUAUAUCAUAAUUAUGUUUUAAUAAUAAUUAUUAAUAGAAUGUUAAUUAUUAUAUGUAUAUUAUUAAUUUUAUUAUUAGUUUUGUAAUGAUUUAUUAUUAUGCUUAUUAUUGUGGUAACUACAAUAUUAUUAAUACUGUAACUGUUCAAAGAACUUUAACUGGUUUUGGUAUAUUUACUUUACAAUUGUUGGUAAUGAUUAUUUUAUUAUUAAUAUAUUAACCUUAUUAUUAUUAUUAUAUUAUAAUUAAUAAUAAUAAUAAUGCUAAUAUUGUUAAAUGUGCCUACAAUUUUAUGAAGUUUUUGUAUAUUAAGCCGUUUUAAUUAUACAGUAAUAACCUCCGAGCUAAUAUUAUUGUUAUAUUGUUCAAGUAUUACAACAUGUUAGAGUUGGAUCGUUACUUCCAGUUGUUCUUAAUGUUAUUUAUCAUCAUCAUUGCAUUUUUUAUCUGAUGAAAGAUAUACUAUAUGAAUAAAUUCUAAGGUUGCGAAUCUGAUAAUCACAAAGUAUGCUCAAUGUAAAAUGUUCAAUACUGUAGGUGGCAUGCUUUAAGAAAUGUAAUAAUAGUAAUAACUAAUGUUUUAUUAUAAGAACUGAAUUCUGAUUUGUAAAUAAUGAUCUUUUUCUGCUGUACAAUAUGCUGUUUUGAUAAUAAUAGUGAUAAAUAAGGAUUUAUACAAUUACAGUAAUCAGUUUCUUAUUUUGACUGUUAUAAAUGAAGCUUCCUGGAGUUAAUUAAGCAUGUUCUGAUCGCAAGAGAUAGCAAUAGCUCAUGGUAUCAAUUACUUGAAGUGCCUUGUGUUUGUACCGAUACAUCUUAUUUUAGAGUGUUGAUGUCUUGACCAAUUUGGAAUUGAAAUUUUGUAAUUCUAGUCUUUCAUGUUGUCUUUCACAUACACAUUUUUAUAAAAAUCGACAAACAUUUUGACAGUUGAUCCCUAUCCCAGCCCCUUCAAUCUAGUUUCCCACCUUCUUAGUAGAAGUGCCAGCAGGGUUCAAGGAAGAAUUUCCCACGUCUGGAUAAAGCUACGUUCACAUCAAGCCCGGAUUCCGGUCUGGAGAAAAAAUCAUGAAAAAUUGGAUCAGUUGUAAAGAAUAGGAACGUUCACAUCAAAUUUGUAUGAUUUUCAAUCCGGAGUCCAGAUCCGGACCGAUGGAUCUGAGAGCCAUUUGUAUCCUGAAAUCUUGGACAAAUCAGCAACAAACUUGGUUGGUUCGAAGCAAUCGAACGCAUACGUACUUAACCCGAACAACUGUGUUCCGUGUGCAAUGUGAAUGCAGCGUUAAAAAAACAUAGCAAUUCACAAAUUAUUUUAACCCAGAGUUCCUUCCCUCUCCAUCUCCUUUCUUCAGCACCCCUUCCUACACAUUUGGUUUCUUCUCCCAUCACUUCUUAUCUAUAUUCUUUAACAAUUCAUAUUCCUGCAUUCAUGUCCCAUCCCUUGUAUUAGAUUCAUGCAUUUCACAAGCAUCAACAUUGUGUGUACUCCUUUAUUGUUAAUAGUUUACUUGAAAUUAAUGUUAAUUUUAAUAUGUUUGCAGUAUAAUUCGCACGCAACUCAAAUUUAUGGUUUUAAUGAGAAUGUGCAAUGGCGUCUUAAUUAAAAUAGCGUUUUUUAAGUUUGAAAGGUGAUAUGUAUAUUAUUUUGAAAAUUUCUUUUUAAAAAAAUUGAUUUUAAAUUUGUUUUAAAAAAAUUUCUUUUAAAGUUGUUUAUAUAAAAAUUGAGUUUAAUGAACCCAUAAUUGGUAAAGAUAAAAAGUGUUCUGUUACUUUUAUUUAAUUUAAAUGUGUAAUUACAAGAAAAAUGUUUUUUGUUACAUUUUAACAAACUUAAGGUUUUAUUUUCAAGAAAAUACAACAACCUAUUUUGUUACUGUUUAAAAAAUCUGUCAUCUUUGUUGUUUUUGGUGGAAAAUUGAUAGUCUUCCAAAGUUCUUGUUGGCAAAAUUGAAUAAAAGAAGCUUUCAAUUAACAAAGA